GGGGGGGGGGGGGGGGGGGGGGGGGGGGGGGGGGGGGGGGGGGGGGGGGGGGGGGGGGGGGGGGGCGGGGGGGGGGAACGGGGGGGUGAGGGGGGGGUAACCGGCCGUGGAGUGGGGGAGAACUGCAGGGAGCUGGGGCUAGUACCGGAUAGGAGCUCCUGCUGCAGGGGGGGGGUUGGAAAGUUUCGGCGGUUGGGGAUGGACUCGCGGCUUAUCAGCUUGUUGGUGGGGUAGUGGCUUACCAAGGCUUUGACGGGUAGCCGGCCUGAGAGGGUGACCGGCCACAUUGGGACUGAGAUACGGCCCAGACUCCUACGGGAGGCAGCAGUGGGGAAUAUUGCACAAUGGGCGGAAGCCUGAUGCAGCAACGCCGCGUGCGGGAUGACGGCCUUCGGGUUGUAAACCGCUUUCGCCUGUGACGAAGCGUGAGUGACGGUAAUGGGUAAAGAAGCACCGGCUAACUACGUG
rnacentral:rRNA from 1 species